UACGUAGGGGGCAAGCGUUGUCCGGAAUUACUGGGCGUAAAGGGCGCGUAGGUGGCCUUCUAAGUUGAACGUGAAAUCCCUGGGCUCAACCCAGGAACUGCGUCCAAGACUGGGAGGCUUGAAUCCGGGAGAGGGAUGCGGAAUUCCAGGUGUAGCGGUGAAAUGCGUAGAUAUCUGGAGGAACACCGGUGGCGAAGGCGGCAUCCUGGACCGGUAUUGACACUGAGGCGCGAAAGCGUGGGGAGCAAACAGG
rnacentral:rRNA from 1 species